CACGCGUGCGCAAGUGUGAAACAUACAAAAAUGAUUUUAUUUAUAUUAUUAUACACGUUUUCACAAUCUACAGCAGUGAUUUACAAUUUGAACGAAACGGAUUACGCUCGUAUGCCACCAGUCUUUAAUUUCGAUCGUUAUGAAAUAUGUAUUAAUCAAAAACAUGGUAUUUAUUGUACGAUGAAUGUUGACCUUGUUGUUGACGAAGAAAAUGAUCUUUUUAAUAUGAUUCGGGAAUAUAGCGAAAGAAAAGAAACUCAUUACAACCACACGAGGCUGUUUCACGGAAUCUGUGUCACUCAAAUGUGUUCUGAUUAUUUAAAAAACUCGUCACGAGAUCUUGAAGUAAACGUCGAGAGAUGUUUGAAUGAUUCAUAUUGGAAGAAUUACAAAUUUAAAACUAAAGUAAAUGAUAUGUUUUGUAAUAAUCAGAAGAAAGAAGAGAAAUUUGAGCUGCCAGAUAUUGCCUUUGCAGUAUUCUGUUUAUUUUUAAUUCUAUUAAAUUUAAUAGGAAGUCUUUAUGAUUUUUUCAUAAAA